GACGAACGCUGGCGGCGUGCUUAACACAUGCAAGUCGAACGGAAAGGCCCUGCUUUUGUGGGGUGCUCGAGUGGCGAACGGGUGAGUAACACGUGAGUAACCUGCCCUUGACUUUGGGAUAACUUCAGGAAACUGGGGCUAAUACCGGAUAGGAGCUCCUGCUGCAUGGUGGGGGUUGGAAAGUUUCGGCGGUUGGGGAUGGACUCGCGGCUUAUCAGCUUGUUGGUGGGGUAGUGGCUUACCAAGGCUUUGACGGGUAGCCGGCCUGAGAGGGUGACCGGCGACCGUGGGACAGGUAGGCGGCCACGAGUGCUGCGGGAGGUGGGGGGGGGGUAUGUGGCACGGGGGGGGGGAGCCGGAGGGCGAGACGCGGAGGGGGGACGGACGGCUGUGGGGUGGUACCGGGUCUGCGCAGGAGAAGAAGCGUGAUGGAGCGUAGUGGGUGAAGAAGCACCGCCAAAAUGCGCGCGAGCGGCCGGGCUAAUCAGCGGAGGAGCGUACGUCGGACC
rnacentral:rRNA from 1 species